rnacentral:rRNA from 1 species
AGGGUGUAAAACGCUGCAGACUUGGUGUUGGAAGUCCUUUGGGGGCAUUCAGUGCCGGAGAGAAGUUGUUAAGUCUGCUACUUGGGGAGUACGUCCGCAAGGAUGAAACUUAAAGGAAUUGGCGGGGGAGCACUGCAACGGGAGGAGCGUGCGGUUUAAUUGGAUUCAACACCGUAAAACUCACCAGGGAAGACUGUUACAUGAAAGCCGAGAUGAAGACUCUGCUAGAUUUUCAGAGAGGAGGUGCAUGGCGUCAGUGACU